rnacentral:rRNA from 1 species
UACAGAGGGGGCAAGCGUUAUUCGGAAUUAUUAGGCGUAAAGGGCGCGUAGGCGGCUUUGCAAGUGACGGGUGAAAUCCCUCGGCUUAACCGAGGAACUGCCUGUCAGACUGCAUGGCUCGAGACCAGGAGAGGUGAGUGGAAUUCCCAGUGUAGCGGUGAAAUGCGUAGAUAUUGGGGAGGAACACCAGUGGCGAAGGCGGCUCACUGGACUGGUACUGACGCUGAUGCGCGAAAGCGUGGAGAGCGAACAGG